UACUGAGUGGCAGACGGGUGAGUAACAUGUGGGAAUCUGCCUUGUGGUUCAGGACAACAUUGGGAAACCGAUGCUAAUACUGGAUAAGCCCUUACGGGGAAAGUUUUAAUGCCAUAAGAUGAGCCCGCAUUUGAUUAGUUAGUUGGUGAGGUAAUGGCUCACCAAGACAAUGAUCAAUAGCUGAUCUGAGAGGAUGAUCAGCCACACUGGGACUGAGACACGGCCCAGACUCCUACGGGAGGCAGCAGUGGGGAAUCUUGCACAAUGGAGGAAACUCUGAUGCAGCGAUGCCGCGUGAGUGAAGAAGGCCUUUGGGUUGUAAAGCUCUUUUGUAGGGGAAGAUAAUGACUGUACCCUAAGAAUAAGGUCCGGCUAACUUCGUGCCAGCAGCCGCGGUAAUACGAAGGGACCUAGCGUAGUUCGGAAUUACUGGGCGUAAAGCGCGCGUAGGCCGUUGAGUUAGUUAAUUGUGAAAUCC
rnacentral:rRNA from 1 species